ensembl:snRNA U6 U6 spliceosomal RNA
AUUUUAAAAAUAUAACUCAACAUCUGUUUUACACAGAUGAGCAUGGCCCCUGUGCAAGGAUGACAUUCGGAUCUGUGAAGCAUUCUAUAACAUA